CCUACGGGAGGCAGCAGUGGGGGAUAUUGCACAAUGGGGGAAACCCUGAUGCAGCGACGCCGCGUGUGGGAAGACGGUCCUCUGGAUUGUAAACCACUGUCCCCAGGGACGAAAAUGACGGUACCUGGGGAGGAAGCUCCGGCUAACUACGUGCCAGCAGCCGCGGUAAUACGUAGGGAGCGAGCGUUGUCCGGAAUUACUGGGUGUAAAGGGAGCGUAGGCGGGGAUGCAAGUUGGGUGUCAAAACUACCGGCUCAACUGGUAGUCGCACUCAAAACUGCAGCUCUUGAGUGAAGUAGAGGCAGGCGGAAUUCCUAGUGUAGCGGUGAAAUGCGUAGAUAUCAGGAGGAACACCGGUGGCGAAGGCGGCCUGCUGGACUGCAACUGACGUUGAGGCCCGAAAGCGUGGGGAGCAAACAGGAUUAGAUACCCGUGUAGUC
rnacentral:rRNA from 1 species